UACGAAGGGGGCUAGCGUUGUUCGGAAUUACUGGGCGUAAAGGGCGCGUAGGCGGUCCCUCAAGUCAGGCGUGAAAGCCCCGGGCUCAACCUGGGAACCGCGCUUGAGACUGAUGGGCUAGAGUUCGGGAGAGGAUGGUGGAAUUCCAGUGUAGAGUGAAUUCGUAGAUAUUGGAAGAACACCGAUGGCGAAGGCAGCCAUCUGGACCGACACUGACGCUGAGGCGCGAAAGCGUGGGGAGCAACAGGAUUAAGAUACCCCCGUAGUCC
rnacentral:rRNA from 1 species